AAAAUGCUGAUGACCGUUCUUGUGUAUUUACUGAUUAAAUUUCUACUAUAUAUUUGAGGUGUUUCCCGGCAAAUGGAGGUUUUCAUAAAACAACAAGAACACACAAACAUAGCAAACAGAAGACGAUGGACAAAACGAGUGAAAGUUGAUGCUGCUAAACCGUUACAAAACACUAUUUUGGUGCGAUUCAGAGGUAUUCAAACUUGGUAUUUGGGUCUGUAGGCAGUUUAAAUAUCAAUGACUGAAAUGGCUCUCUCAACAUUACGACCGACUUAGGUGGUUAAGAAGGUUACAAAAGAUUAUACAGAAUUAUACUUAUUUGAAUUUGCUAAGGCUCGAUUAUAAUAGAACGAAAAGAACUGUGUAAACAUACCUGUUAUGGAGCAGAGUAGUCGUAGCGUGGGUGUAUUGCCGGAAUAUUGAUUUAUCAUACCCUGGCUAUGUGCCUUGGGUGCAGGCAUGCUCAAUGUGAUGGCCUUAUGGAAUUUGCGGCGUCGUGGCUCAACCGUUACAAUCGGCGAUACGGCCACACCGCGGCCAAGUAGUUUAGCAGUCAGAUCUGGAUCGACUGGUUGUGCCUAGAAUGAGCUUAUCGUUUUGUUCUUAUAUAUACAAAUGAUUAUUUCAACAUGAAAAUGGCCACUUAAGACUAAAGUACAAGUGGUGCAGAAGGAAGAACAAAGAAAGUAGAGCGUAUUGAAGCGACAAAGAUUUCCCAAUGCCAUGUACUUGAGCCUUGUGUGGACUUAUAAGCUCUUCUGCGAUGGCCUGCGGUUGCGAUGGGGCCCCGACUCCACCAGCAUACUCAGCACUGUGGGUCAUCAUGCGAUUGGAGUCAAUGCGUUCAUCACGUGUAACAUCGAUUGGCAAGGAGUCAUCGCCUAAGGAUUUCAUUUCAUCAACUGUCAAAUAACGGUAAGGCUGAUCGGAUAACAUAUUAUCUUCGCCUGGUGGAGGUGGAUGUGUUGUGUUCAAUAGCGGUGUCGGAGCGAACAGUGCAAAAAAAAAUUUAGGAAACAUAAAUAAAGAUAUGCAAAGAUUUCAUUUUAAUUUGAAUGGCAAACACACAUGCAUAAUCAAUAAUCUUUCGGAUUAAAUAUGAAAGCUGAUAACGCAUUGCAGUGAAAGGAAACUGAACUGAGGAUUACGUAUUGAAAACUGUUCACAUAUACAUACGUAUGUAGUUGUUUAUAAAAAAAUUUAAAUGUUUUCCUAUGUUGAGGUACUGAAGUGAUGAAAACAAAAGAACACAGCAGUGUAGAUGUCGAAUAACUACAUAGACUACAGAACGGAAUUUUGAUGGCAGACUUAUAAUUUGGAACGCUUCGUUGGACGCUCCAAUCAAAAUGGUACCCCACAAACGCGUUUCAUACUUUAUUUGCAGUUGGUUGGAUAACAGUUAAUCAAUAAUGUUAAUUAAUAGUGCUUCGAAUUCUUUUAAUACGGCUUUUCACAUUAUAACACGACGAGCAAGCGGUGGCAAAACAAAUUGUAUACUGCAAAGGAAAAUGAAGUCCAAUUUGUAAGUUCCGAAGAAGCAUGUGGAUAUCAUUAUGGCGAGAAAUUUCUGGUCGAGAGUACUUGUUUGUUAAGUAUUUAUGUUUUUUCGAGCAGAAUUUUUAAAACAAUUUCAAUCUAUUUUUAAAUACUAUUUUACAAAACCACUCAGAGAGCGAAAUACAAGUAGAUAUUUAUAUUCCCUUAUGCUCUGGGAUUUAAUGCGAUCAUUUGGUUGUGGAUCGUAGGGUGGAUUGCAGACAGAGUCGUUCGAACGAGCAUUUGUAGGUAUCUAAACAAAUUGUUUGGUGUUAUAUUUACAAACCUAAGGUAGAUUUGGAUCCUACGAGUACCUGCAAUGAGCACUUUUUAUUUUACAUAAUUAACGGACAAAGUCUCUUUCUUUACAAAUAACACCAAUCUGGAGAAUAAUCCGGUUUCAACAGGCAUACAUAUUAUAUAUGUAUAUACAUAUUUUUUUGUUUUAAUGUAAACAAUAGAUGUCUAAUGUGAGUUAAUUGUAAAAUUAAAUAAAUAUUAAUAUAAUAUUUUGAACCGUAACCAUGGUCACCAUAACUGAGUGUUUUGGAGAACUUCCAACUAGAAUUCAUAUGAUAAAUACCGAGCAAAGCGAAUUACAGCGCACUAAGAAGAGGGAGGAAUAAAAAAUGCGAAUUUCAAAAAUCACUUUAACAAAUUGUGUUCUGUUGAUCCAGUGGCUACAUAGUACAUACAUAUUCGUACGUUAAUAUAGCCUCAGCGUUAAGUAAUGCCUCACGCCCUUCAACCCAAAUACUUUAUUGCUUUAGCUGCCAAACUGGCGACAACGUUGAAAAUCCAACAUUUAAAUCUUGACUGCGCAACAUCUCUGUCUCAUUUCGGAAUUACGUCAUUCUUUGUACAUCUACACAUCUCUACACGCGGAUCUUCUAACGGACAGAGGGGAUGUUAUUUCAAUGCCUAAGAUCUAAAUACUGACAUGAGCACCUGAUUAACUGUAAAUAAGCCAUUAAGGAUGAGGUCUACUUUGCAUACAUACUCUGGAUAUUAACUACUUAAUCACCUCUCAAAAUAUACAGUCAUUAAGGCAUGAGACCACAAAGGAUCUAUUUUAAUGUUUAUGCCGAUACAGAUUCACAUACAUUACAUACUAAGGUGCGCUAAAUGUACAUAUAUCUAAGCUGUUGGGUUACCAUGUACUUACAGAGCUG